GAUUUGGAUGAGUUAUCAAAUGUUUUUUCUACUCUGCAAUAAAAUGAUUUUCAGUUACCUGAGCAUACUCCUCACCGUCCCAGCGUCUUGACUCCUCUCCGUCUACGACUUCGACGUCUCAACUCCUCUCCUCUCCGGCGGCUCAAAGUCUCAAGAAAUCUGGUUCACAUUGAUUCACACAACAAGAUUCUGUUUGCAAGACAUUCAGAUCAAAGAUAUGCAAAUUUCCAGCGGGUUUUGCAGACUGGCAAUGAAUUUGAUCAAGAUACUAAGGCAAUGUUGCUGAGGGCAAAUCUUCUGAAGUUUGAAUACAAUCUUAGGGCUUCUAGGAAACUUUGAAUCUCUAAUUCUGCUGGGCAAUUGGCCAAGGUUGUCUAUCAUUGGAUUCAUCUUCCUUUUUUCGUUCUACUAGUAUGGAAGCAAGGUUCUUAGACAUUUUGAAAGAAGACUGGUUGCCCAUGGGGGACUGAAUUUUGAGGAUUUUCGGAUUCACGUCAACAGUUACAAACAUCUGACAGUUGCGUUCUUGUAUAUACCCAGAAUUAUUUUAAAAGUUGCGAUUCUUCGCUCUUCCUUUUAGUUGUUACUUUCCAUCUGCUAGGGGAUUUUGCUGUCACAAUACCAUGCCUGCCAUUGUGAUUUGUGAUGGCCUGCUGCCAAGUGUGUUCAACCAAAACUGAAAACUAUACUGGAGACUUUGUUUCUGUGUCCCACUUGUGAAUUUAAUCUGUCUAUAGUACAUAUAGCACAGACUAGAGCAUUAUGUUGGACUCUCAGUCCAACCGGACUCAAUACGAUUGGUGUGCAAACGAGUUUCUAGAGACUUUAUAUUUAUCAUUUAUUCAGCUGUUAAUUUAUUUCAAA